UCGAGCGAGACUUGACAGCUUAUCGUCAAGUCUAGCGGCAGACGGGUGAGUAAUACUUGGGCAAUCUGCCCUUGAGUGAGGGACAACCUGCCGAAAGGCGGGCUAAUACCCCAUAAGACCACGGGAGUGCAUAUUUCAGGGGUCAAAGCUCCGCAAGGGGCGCUUGAGGAGGAGCCCGAGUCCUAUCAUGGUAGUUGGCGGGGUAACGGCCCACCAAGCCGUUGACGGGUAGCCGGCCUGAAAGGGCAAACGGCCACACUGGCACUGAGACACGGGCCAGACUCCUACGGGAGGCAGCAGUGGGGAAUUUUGGACAAUGGGGGCAACCCUGAUCCAACGACGCCGCGUGAAGGAUGAAGGUCUUCGGAUUGUAAACUUCUUUUGGAGGGGAUGAAUGGCCUAGUGAAUAACUAGGCAUGACAGUACCCUUCGAAUAAGCCACGGCUAACUACGUGCCAGCAGCCGCGGUAAUACGUAGGUGGCAAGCGUUACUCGGAAUCACUAGGCGUAAAGCGCAGGUAGGAGGUUUGAUAAGUCUGUUGUGAAAGCUCCCGGCUUAACUGGGAGAGGUCAACGGAAACUGUCAGGCUAGAGUGCGGUAGAGGUAGCUGGAAUUCCCGGUGUAGCGGUGAAAUGCGUAGAUAUCGGGAGGAAUACCUAUGGCGAAAGCAGGCUACUGGACCGUCACUGACUCUGAUCUGCGAAAGCUAGGGGAGCAAACAGGAUUAGAUACC
rnacentral:rRNA from 1 species